AGGACGAACGCUGGCGGCGUGCUUAACACAUGCAAGUCGAGCGGAAAGGCCCUUCGGGGUACUCGAGCGGCGAACGGGUGAGUAACACGUGAGUAAUCUGCCCCUAGCUCUGGGAUAGCUCCGGGAAACCGGGAUUAAUACCAGAUACGACCACUUUAGACAUCUGUUGUGGUGGAAAGAAUUUUGGCUAGGGAUGAGCUCGCGGCCUAUCAGCUUGUUGGUGAGGUAACGGCUCACCAAGGCGACGACGGGUAGCCGGCCUGAGAGGGCGACCGGCCACACUGGGACUGAGACACGGCCCAGACUCCUACGGGAGGCAGCAGUGGGGAAUAUUGCGCAAUGGGCGAAAGCCUGACGCAGCGACGCCGCGUGGGGAUGAAGGCUUCGGUUGUAACCCUUUCAGCAGGACGAAGCGAAAGUGACGGUACCUGCAGAGAAGCGCCGCUAACUACGUGCCAGCAGCCGC
rnacentral:rRNA from 1 species